rnacentral:lncRNA from 1 species
CGAUACGCCUGUUCUCCUUUAACUUUGGGUGUGGGUAUAUCAUCUCAGUAAUGAGAAAAGGAACUUCCUGUUUUUACCCCACUCCCAUGCUGCCUCUUUGGAAGGAAGUCACCGUGAGCAGUGAAGUGUACCCUGCAGUUUGAGUGCAAUUCUACAUAAAUUAUAUCAGAUACUGUGCAUAGAGCAUUUUACUGCUUUCUUUUCUUUUCUCUCUUGUCUCCUUACACUACAGAGACAUGGCCCCAGGCCCUGAGCUGGAGAAGUCGUGUUCAAGUGGAAGCACUGGAAAAUGGAAUCCUAAGAUUUUCCUUCCUAACUGCCAUCUAGGGAUCAUAGAGUUACCAGGGAUCCCCUCACCAUGAUUCCUCACCCCCACUGAACUGGUGACAAGAAACUAGACUGUGACGACCCACUGUGAAUGUCCCUGAACACUCUCUUCCACAGCUCUACUGGCCAUCAGCAGCACCAGCAGGAAGGUUACCUCUCCUCACUCUGCCAACUCGCUGGCGUGGAUCUAAUCAGCAGAACUUAAUUCCUAUUCAGAGCCCAACCUGCAGGGGAAUCUGAG